UGGGGAAUAUUGCACAAUGGGCGCAAGCCUGAUGCAGCCAUGCCGCGUGUAUGAAGAAGGCCUUCGGGUUGUAAAGUACUUUCAGCGGGGAGGAAGGGAGUAAAGUUAAUACCUUUGCUCAUUGACGUUACCUGCAGAAGAAGCACCGGCUAACUCCGUGCCAGCAGCCGCGGUAAUACGGAGGGUGCAAGCGUUAAUCGGAAUUACUGGGCGUAAAGCGCACGCAGGCGGUUUGUUAAGUCAGAUGUGAAAUCCUCGGGCUCAACCUGGGAACUGCAUCUGAUACUGGCAAGCUUGAGUCUCGUAGAGGGGGGUAGAAUUCCAGGUGUAGCGGUGAAAUGCGUAGAGAUCUGGAGGAAUACCGGUGGCGAAGGCGGCCCCCUGGACGAAGACUGACGCUCAGGUGCGAAAGCGUGGGGAGCAAACAGG
rnacentral:rRNA from 1 species